GACGAACGCUGGCGGCGUGCCUAAUACAUGCAAGUAGAACGCUGAAGGAGGAGCUUGCUUCUCCGGAUGAGUUGCGAACGGGUGAGUAACGCGUAGGUAACCUGCCUGGUAGCGGGGGAUAACUAUUGGAAACGAUAGCUAAUACCGCAUAACAGUAGAUGUUGCAUGACAUUUGCUUGAAAGGUGCAAUUGCAUCACUACCAGAUGGACCUGCGUUGUAUUAGCUAGUUGGUGAGGUAACGGCUCACCAAGGCGACGAUACAUAGCCGACCUGAGAGGGUGAUCGGCCACACUGGGACUGAGACACGGCCCAGACUCCUACGGGAGGCAGCAGUAGGGAAUCUUCGGCAAUGGACGGAAGUCUGACCGAGCAACGCCGCGUGAGUGAAGAAGGUUUUCGGAUCGUAAAGCUCUGUUGUAAGAGAAGAACGAGUGUGAGAGUGGAAAGUUCACACUGUGACGGUAUCUUACCAGAAA
rnacentral:rRNA from 1 species